rnacentral:rRNA from 1 species
GUACGAGAGGACCGGAGUGGACGAACCUCUGGUGUUCCGGUUGUCACGCCAGUGGCAUUGCCGGGUAGCUAUGUUCGGAAUAGAUAACCGCUGAAAGCAUCUAAGCGGGAAACUAGCCUCAAGAUGAGAUCUCACUGGAACCUUGAGUUCCCUGAAGGGCCGUCGAAGACUACGACGUUGAUAGGUUGGGUGUGUAAGCGCUGUGAGGUGUUGAGCUAACCA